rnacentral:pre_miRNA from 1 species
AGUGCUCGGAGAUAUUGUCACGUGCUACCCCAUUCUGAUAUGAUAUCACCCAGCACCAC